rnacentral:rRNA from 1 species
UCUGGUGUCGAUACGCUUGUGGGAAACACCCGUUCCCAUCCCGAACACGACGGUUAAGACGCAAGCGGCCGAUGGUACUGCAUUGGAGACGAUGUGGGAGAGCAGGUGGGCGCCAGAU